UUUUUUUUUUUUUUUUGGCCUUUUCUAGGGCCGCUCCCACGGCAUAUGGAGGUUCCAGGCUAGGGGUCUAAUCUGAGCUGUGGCCGUCAGCCACAGCAAUGUGGGAUCCGAGCUGCGUCUGCAACCUACACCAUGGCUCACAGCAAUGCCAGAUCCUUAACCCACUGAGCAAGGCCAGGGAUUGAACCAGCAACCUCAUGGUUCCUAGUCGGAUUCGUUAACCAUUGAGCCACAACGGGAACUCCCGUGGUUGUACAUUCUUGAAACACAUGUAUUUGAGCAGGCCACUCCACUCCCUGCUCAAAACCCUUUAGAAGCUUCGCCCGGUCCUAGGAUAAAGGUCCAAAAUUUUAGCAAAGCCCUACGUCAUUAGGUCUCUGCCAAACUCUCCUUUUCCAUCUCCCAGACCUUGAUCCUCUCAUCUGUGGUCCAAAUACAAUAGACUUUGUUUGGUUUAGGGGGAGCCCCACAUUUCAACCACAUUUUAACUCCCUCUAAUCCUGUUUUCUCAGCAUCAGCACCACUUUCGCAUAGCAUGAUGUUUCUUUGCUUCACAGCCCAUGUAGUAGAGGCAGCUGGCUGCCCACCCAAUAUCCAUUCUGCCCUUUUUCCUUGGUUUCAGAACUGUAAUUUUAUUUUGGGAUGACAAUGAUUGUCUGUAUUUCUAACUACAAGUCCGUAUUUCCCAGCCUUUCUUGUAGCUAGUUGUGCCCAUGUGAUUGGGUUCCGAUGGAGAAUAGGUAAGCAGAACUUAGUUAUUUGAUUCUUCCAGGAAAGCCUUUUAAAGAUAUAUGUCCAUUUGUUCUUCAUCCUUCCUUGGACGUGAACCUGAUGGCUGGAGCUCCUGCAGCCAUCUUGGACCAUAAGAUGUUUUGCUGAGGAUUGUAGACCAGAAGGACAGAAAGACAUUAGGUCUCAAAUAACUGUAGAGAGACUACACCAGGUAUCUCUGGACUGUAUUUAUGAGAGAGAAAAAUAAGAGCUAAUGUGUUUAAACCACUGUGAAUUUUUUUAAUUGGAAACUUUUUUUUUAAGAGCUGCACCUGUGGCACAUUGUGGUUCCCAGGCUAGGAGUCCAAUUGGGGCUGCAGCCGCUGGCCUAUGCCAGCGCCCUAGCAACGUGGGAUCUGAGCUGUGUCUGUGACCUAUGCCAGAGCUCAUGGCAACACUGGAUUCUUAACCCACUGAGCAAGGCCAGAGAUCAAACUCUCAUCCUCAUCGAUGCCAGUUGGGUUCGUUAACCACUGAGCCACAAUGGGAACUCCUUGGUCUUUUUUUUGUCUUUUUUGGGGGGGGGCUGUACCUGCGACACAUGGAGUUUCCCGGGCUAGGGGUCCAAUCCAAGCUUUUGGCUCUGGCCUACACCAAAGCCACAGCAAUGUGGGAUCCCAGCCAUGUCUGUGACCUACACCACAGCUCAUGGCAACACCGGAUCCUUAACCUACUGAGCGAGGCCAGGGAUCAAACUCCCAAACUCUCCAACUCAUGGUUGCUAGUCGGGUACACUAACUGCUGAGCCACAACAGGAACUCUUAAUUGGAAAAAUUCUGAACAUGUAACUUUACAGAUAUAUUCUUAUCUAAAUUUGUAAUUAAGCAUUUAUUUUAUAAAUUAUUUAUUUAAUGUCUUUCUCCCAUAUUAGAUUAUAAUAGCCUACAGAGCAGGUGCAAUGUGGAUUUCUGCUUCCUGAUAUGUGACCAAUGAAGAGCAGGUACUUAAUAACUAAUCCAAUAAAUAUUCUCUCAUUUUAUAUCAGUUUUGGAAGCCUGCCACCCAGAUCCUUCCUUUUAGAUCAUCGAGCUUAGCAGUACAUGCUGUACAUAUAAAUGAUGAAUCUUAGGUACUUGAGCUAAAGAAAAAGAUUCCUACAAAUAAAGAUUCUUUGGGGUACCCCUCUUGUUUCCCUAGUUUUCAGCAAAGUCUCAAUUUGCACAGUCCCAUUUCUCUGACAUCAAGCUCCUCUCUUGCCACUAUUCUCUCAUCCUUUAUGCUCAGGCCAGGCUGAACUACCUGUAAUUUCAUAAGGGUACCCUGCUCUUUCUUGUCUCCUGGUCUGUGUAUAGGCUGUUCCUCUACUUGGAAUUCAUGUUGCUUAACUUAAGUCUAUUCAUCAUGGGGUCUUAACUUUGAUGUCAUCUUCUCCAGGAAGCCUUUAAGAUUCCUUUAAACCCAGGUCAAGCCCGUCUAUAUGGCAUUCCUGAGGUCUUCCCUCACCUUCCAUCAUAGCAUUUACAACCCUGCAUUGCUUCCUAUAUCCCCUAUGUUAUGGGUUGAAUUGCUUCUCCCAAAAUAUAUGUUAAAGUCCUAACUCCCUGGUACCCGCAAAUGGAACUUAUAUGGAAAUAUGGUCUUUGUAGAUGUAAUCAAGUUAAGAUGAAGUCCCACAAGAUUAGGAUGGGUUCUUAAUCCAGUAUGAAUGAUGCCCCUUUAAGAAGAGGAGGCAAACAAAGACAAACACACACAAGAGAAGAAUGCCAUAUGAAAAAGACACAGAGGCAUCAAGGCAAGAUGGCUAUGGAACUGUGGGGACAGAAGCCACAGGAACUCAUGCAGCUGCAAACCAAUGAGUGCCAAGUAUUUCUGGGAACAACCAGAAGCUAGUUGGGUGGGUCUUGCUGAUACCUUCAUUUUUGGAGCCUAGUCUCCAGAACUAGAAGAGAACACAUUUCUCUCCUUUAAGCUACCCAAAUUCAUAGUACUUGGUUAUGGCAGCCCUUCGAGAGGCUGAAUAUAGAAAAGGGCAAAGGCCAGACCAUACAUUCAAAUAGAACUCUGACCCACAACCUGUAGCAACUGGUCCAGGAACCCAACCCACCAUACACAGUGACUAGUCCAGAAGGCUUGACUAUUAUCUGUAGCCACUUGUCCAAGAAGCCAGAAAAUAACUCCCGUAAUAAUUCACCUCAAAUGGCCAGGACCUGAUUAAUAACUGGUGGCUUCCCUAAUUUUUUCCCCAGCUUCUGAGUUAGAAAAAGAAACCAGAGAAAGAAACAUACCCUGACCAAUCACACAGGUUGCUCUGCUUCUAGUUAACCCAUGUAUAGCUUCCUCAUGCCACCAGCAUCCAAUCCAGGACCUGAAGCCUUCUCUUUUGUCCACUAGAAAGCUCUUCUUCUCCUCUGCCUGUCUUUAAGUCUCUGUUAAGUGCAAGUGACAAAGGCUGACUCCCUCGCUUGAGUAAACUCUUCUUGUUCCCAUUUAAGUAGUCUUCGCUCAUGUCUAUACCUGGAAAAUCAAUACACCCAGCAUCUUCCAAUGAAGGCUUAUCCUGACAGCGCUUGGACUCCUUCUCUCCCAAACCCUUCUCUGACCUCAUUUCUGGUAGUUUUAGAGAAAUGAAUUUAUUUUCAACAUAUUUUAUGACUAAUUGAAAAAUCUCAUUUUCGCCAUAGUACCCCAACACCGAGCUUAAUGCCUGGCACUUAGCAAGCCCUCAGUGAAAAAUGUGUUUAAUGAAAUUCAUGGUUCUCUCUUACCUGCCUGGUUAGAUGCCGCCUGGCCAGAACCUUGUACUUCAUGAGGAAAGUGAUUGUACAGAACAGGCAUGGCCUCGUGGUUAUUUAAUACCCUAAUAAAGAAGCUUUCGCACUAGAUACUGUGACUCAGAGUGGACGGUUUAAUCACAGCUGGUCAAUAUUUAUGAGGCCCAAGACACAGCUGUGCUGUAUGACUUAUUUACAAGCUGAUUCUGGAGCCUGUAAGCCUCCUUGGGAGGUCCACCUGUUCCGAGGUACCAAACAAACAGGAAAGAACCUGUCUUCCCUUCCUGCAAUUCAAACAAUUCAGAUGCCCUCCUGCUGUUGUCUUGGAGCACGAUGUGUUGCCCUUUGAAUAAAAAGGUUGUCUUACCUUUUCCUCAUUGCAAGUUUCAGAUACCCCUCCACCAACAUCCUCUGGGUGAUCACCAUCAAAAUGGAAAAAUCAAGCAGGUACUGCAUCCCCUAAGGCUCUGGUUUUGUGUCCAGGCUGUACAUCAUAAUUACCUGGGGGCGCUUGUCAAAAUGACUGGUACUGAAGCCUUGCCCAACCUUCCUGAGCAAAAUUCUUGUGAAUGGGACCACUCUUUGGGUUUUUCACAUGCUCCCUGGGAGCCUGGGUUUGGGGUGCCUGGAACCAGUCUGUAGACCAGCAGGUGGAAAUUGAGAACUUCUGUUCCUAAGGGCCUUGGAAUCUAAAGCAAGAAUACCACAUACAUGUGUAGACACUCAUGCGGAUUUAGAUUUUGAAAUGAGGUGUUGCUGGUCCAACCAAGAAGCAGCAGCGGGGAGUAAAAGGACACAGGCUUCCGUGUCUAACAGAUGCCCUGCCUGGCCCUGCAGCUUCCUGGCUGUGUAGCUUCAGGCUUGUCACUGGCGGUCUCUGAGUCUGUGUCUUUAUGGAAAAGAUGAAGAUACGGAAGAUGAUUCGGAGGAUUUGCGAAUUCAACAAAAUGACAACCCAAAAACAUGGCAAGCUCCUAUCUGUUCCAGGCAUUCUGAUGGACCACAGAGAUAAAGUGAAUAAAAAGACACAAAGCUUGCCUUUGCAGACCUUAGGUUUAGUCAAAGGGACAGACAUCAAAGAAGUCCACAAAUGAACUGGCCAUUCCACUUGUGAUUAACUCAGUAAAGGGAAAGCAAAAAAAUGUCACCAGAGGGCGACACUGAUGUGUGAGUGAGCUAGUGGAGGGUCUCGAAGAUCUGACAGAGGGUGCAACAUAGGAGAUCUGAACAUGAAGGAGGGAAAUCUGGGCAAAAAGGGGGUCCAGCAGAGUUCCCACUGUGGUGCAGGGGGUUAAGGAUCUGGUGUUGCCAUAGCUGUGUCAUAGGUUGCAGCUGUGGCUCAGAUUUGAUCCCUGGCCCCAGAACAUCCAUGUGCCACGAGUGCAGCCAAAAAAAAAAAAAAAAAAAAAAAA
ensembl:lncRNA